ensembl:snoRNA LOC120097990 small nucleolar RNA SNORA17
GCUGCCCCUAGAGGCAUUGCUGGUAUGGCUGCUGUGUCACAUGUGGGGCAGUAGGUGGCAGAGAGGAGAGGCUGAGUCUAUGUUUGGUGUUACGACUUAUGAACAUCUGAAUGGUUGGUAGCCUAACAUU